UCGAGAAUUUUUCACAAUGGGCGCAAGCCUGAUGGAGCGACGCCGCGUGGGGGAUGAAUGGCUUCGGCCCGUAAACCCCUGUCAUUUGCGAUCAACCGUUAUUAUUUAAAAGAUGAUAACCUGAUAGUAGCGAAAGAGGAAGGGACGGCUAACUCUGUGCCAGCAGCCGCGGUAAUACAGAGGUCCCAAGCGUUGUUCGGAUUUACUGGGAGUAAAGGGUGCGUAGGUGGCGGUGUAAGUCGGAUGUGAAAUCUCCGAGCUCAACUCGGAAACUGCAUUGGAAACUACAUUGCUCGAGGGUUGGAGGGGGGACUGGAAUACUUGGUGUAGCAGUGAAAUGCGUAGAUAUCAAGUGGGACACCAGUGGCGAAGGCGAGUCCCUGGACAACUCCUGACACUGAGGCACGAAAGCUAGGGGAGCAAACAG
rnacentral:rRNA from 1 species